rnacentral:rRNA from 1 species
UACAGAGGUCCCGAGCGUUGUUCGGAUUCACUGGGCGUAAAGGGUGCGUAGGCGGUUUGGUAAGUCUUAUGUGAAAUCUACAGGCUCAACUUGUAGUCUGCAUGAGAAACUGCCGGGCUUGAGUAUGGGAGAGGUGAGUGGAAUUCCUGGUGUAGCGGUGAAAUGCGUAGAUAUCAGGAGGAACACCUGUGGCGAAAGCGGCUCACUGGACCAUAACUGACGCUGAUGCACGAAAGCUAGGGGAGCAAACAGG